rnacentral:rRNA from 1 species
UACGGGGGGGGCAAGCGUUGUUCGGAAUUACUGGGCGUAAAGGGCGCGUAGGCGGCCUUCUAAGUCGGACGUGAGAUCCCUCGGCUCAACCGAGGAACUGCGUCCGAUACUGAAAGGCUUGAAUCCGGGAGAGGGAUGUGGAAUUCCAGGUGUAGCGGUGAAAUGCGUAGAUAUCUGGAGGAACACCGGUGGCGAAGGCGGCAUCCUGGACCGGCAUUGACGCUGAGGCGCGAAAGCUAGGGGAGCAAACGGG